rnacentral:rRNA from 1 species
ACUGGAUCCACCAAAAUUCAUAGAUGAUGGUAGCAAAAAAUCCUCUAGUUCCAGCAAAAAGCACUCAAUUUGUGGAUACUAGCAAAUAAAAAUCGUCGAUUCCAGCAAAACAAAAACCCGGAUGAAGCAAAAAUUUCCGCUGGCCGCAGCUCCCGUCGAGGCCGUUCCAGCAUCUUGUCCACCCGUUGUAGCACAACAUAGCCGUCGUCCCUGAUACAACGGCCUGGGAUUGUAGCACCAAAAGCUUCCAGCUUUCAGGUGAGGGCGGUUGCAGCACCACCCCUUGCUGGUUCCAGCACCGUCUCCUGGGAUGGAGCUCGGAUCACGGCAUGGCGGCCGUCGCGGCGCCGGCCAAGGGCAGCACCUCGUCGGAUCUAUGACGGAUUUGUAGUGCGAUGGUGGUGGACAUGAAGGAGAAGUAGGAAAAGCUAUGGGAGAGAUGGGAAUAGGAAAGAGAAGAAGGAAGAACCCGGGUGGCACUCGUAGCGCCAGGGCUGCGGCGGUGGUCGGCGCUGAGUAGUACUGGAGAUGAGG